GCAUUUCAAAGAAACGAGUUGUACGCGUUCUACGACAGAAGUUGAGUGUAUCGUGAAAAAAAGUGUAAACACUGUUUAUUUUUUUACCAAGAGGAGUAAACUAAGAAGACAGAUUCACAUCCAAGAAAAGUCACCAAAUUCAUCUUCUUUUUUCGUUGAUUAUGUCGGCUUUACGGUAAUUCAGUAAUCACAAUCGGAGAACCUCGCACGUCGAUUGUCACAAGUAUGCAAGCCAAGAAAGAGAGUAAAUAAGAAGAACACGUCGAUUCUAACCUCAACUUGUUGUUGGUUUGUUUGAAUAAUUUUUUCCAAUUUAUGUACUUCCAAUAUGUAGGUAUAUAUUUCUUUUGUUUUUCAAAUUACAAUAAAAAAUGUUGGAUUGGUAUGAAGAAGUUGAAGAAUUUUUAGAGUUUAUUUCUUAUAUUGUAGAAGAAAAUCGCCCGGAAAGUAUACGAAAGCCAUGUGAUAAAAUUAUAUCAAAUCCAAUGGAAUUUUACAAUAUUGAAUUUCAUCAGCUGCAAUAACUUAAACAACAAAGAUUUUAUGCUACUUUAUAGGAAUAUAACCAGUUUUUAUGAAGUUGCCCAUUUCAAAUUACAGCUCUUUCAUGUUCUAGAAGCGAGAUUAUGAAUGUUGUUGGUUGUUGGUGAACAACAAGGUCAAGUUAUGUUGGCUUAAUAUUUGAUCUAAGUGCAUUAAGAGGUAUCAUGAGAAAGAGUGAAAUUCCAGGAUUAUUAAUUGGCAAUAGUAGAUACGCAUGCAAAUACUAUCUAUUUACUUCAGUAUUACAGCCAGGUAAUGAUCAAGAAAAUAGAUACAAUAGUGCACAUGUAAGAACAAGAAAUGUUGCCGAAAAGCUAUUUGGAACCUGGAAAAAACAGUUUCCAUGUCUUCAAAAGUUCUACAAACCGAAUUAAAUACAUACCUUGCAAUAUGUGCUACAACAGUACCUUAUAAGUUAUAAUCUGGGUGCAAGAGAAAAUCAUGAUGGUGAUGAUGAUUUUGUAGAAAAUCUUGAUUUGUCGGUAAAUGGAAAUGUUAAUGAUGUGGAACAAUGUUUAAAUUUUAGGAGGCAUUUUUAUCGACAAUAUUUUGCAUGAGAAUGAGAAUACAUUAUUGAAUACUUGUAAUAUAUUAAAUGUUUUUUUUUUAAUAUUUAAUGGGUCGUCUUUCUUUGGGAUUUUUUGCCUAUUAUUUCUCAAAUAUCAUGAUCAUUGGCUUGACAACUCUUUUUGUUUGAGUUUUGGUCCCUUCAGGAAUACUUACUUCUCCAUUCUAAUCUAUUUGAAGAUUUUGAUUUUUUGUUCUUCCAAUUUUUUAUUUUUAAAAUUUCAAUGUCUUAUCCUAUUUGUUCCUUGCCUAUAUGUAAUCUUUGGUCUUCCUCCUGUUAAUGUCCAGCUGAUAUUUCUUUGUUUAUUUUGGAAAAUAUUUCAUGUUCUUCCAUCUUUCCUCUUAUUAUGUGCUCCUAUUUUGAUGAAUGUUAGUAUAUAGAUUCUGGUAUGUCCUGUAUAGUUCAAAAUUAUAUCUUCUUCUCAAUUUCCCUUUUUUUUUCUUCUUUGUAUAUGUGUCAAGAUUCUUCUGCCUAAGUAACCAAUUGGUCGUCUUCACUUUAAGUAAGUAACCAGAUUUCAGAUUCAUAUGUAAAUACUGGAUGUAUUAAGGUUUUGUGCAAUUGACAUUUAGUUUUUCUUGUAAUAUCUUAUCUUGGUUGUUUGAUCGAGCCCUGGUAACUUUAAUUGGCUAUGAACUGUUUGUAUUGCUAUGUUAGAUGCUAUUUAGCCUGAUUUCAGUGCUUUGUUAUUGUUUAUUUUAUCUACUUGUCUACUGCUAGUCUAUUAUUGUACUUUCACUAUAUAUGUUUUGAAUUUAUAUAGUAAUCUGUCUUUCUCUUCUAUCUAUAUUCCACUAGAAUUUGUUUAUUUAUUCUGAGAAUACAUUAUUGAAUCCUUGUAUAAUGUGAGAUAUAUGUAGUUUCUUUUUUAGUUUACUUCUCAACAUGUAUUUUUUAUAUUUGAUGUUAAAAUAAAUGAGUACGAGUUUUUCUCCUUUUAAA
rnacentral:lncRNA from 1 species